GUCUCAUGAGAUCUGAUGGGUUUAUCAGGGGUUUCCACUUUUGCUUCUUCUCUCAUUCUCUCUUGCUUCCACCAGCAAGAGAAUGCCUUUCACCCUCCGCCAUGAUUGUGAGACCUCCUCCAGCCAUGUGGAAGUCUUUUCUCCUAACUGAUGUGGAUGGGAAACAGACGACGUUAACUAAAACUAUUACAAAUUUAUUUGCUGUUUUUAAUCCUGGUUUUACUUUGUUGGAUGAUUCUUUAGACACCUAAAGCCUUCCUGCUCUUCUCUUCAAUUCCUGUAGGGGGAGUCACCCAGGCUACUCCCUCCCUGUGUUCUUGGUCCUCCCCUGAACCAGGAAAGGGUUCCCCUUACAAGAAGUAUCAGGAACUCAACACUGCAUUUGCAGUCUCCUCAAGCCCCUGGAAAAGGCCCCCACCCCAUCCAGUGAGGGGUUUAUAUCUCAAAUGCCAGAGAAGCUCUAAAGGGGAAUCUCCCUAUACACACAAUUUCAGCCUCCUCAAAGUUCACAGGAAUGAUGGUCACUUCAAGCCACUGUCCCACUCAUGUGAAAGAAUUGGAUAUCCAGGGGUCUUCUCAUGUGGGCUUGCUCUUGUAUUCCCAAAGAAAGAGAAUUUAGCACCUGUUCCAACAAAACUUUAAACAAGCCAGUGUUAAUCUACAGGGAAAAGACCAGGAGGAAAGAAGAAUGAAAUGAACAUUAUUUAGAAACCUUCUAUUAAGACUACAGAAAGCAAUUUUAUCUGAAAACAGGAACCUCCCUGGGUUGGGGGCAGACUCCUGGGUACCACCAUACCUAAUAUUUCAAAUGGAGUCCCCUACAGCUUAAGUAGGACACAGACUAAUUAAAACUCUGAAAAGAAAAAACAACCAAACUAUGCCAAGAUUAAACAAUAUCUAUAAGGAGAAACUUGGGAGGUACUAAUCUCUCUAAUAGGAAAACGGAAUAAAUCCUUGGCAAGGUAAUACUUUCAGUGAAGAAAGUAAAUUAUUCAAAAAAAACCUAAGGAAAUUUUAGGAUUCUAGCUGGAGAAAAAAGAAGACCUUAGUUCUAGAGAAAGCCGGGUUGAGGCCACUACUUACUGAAGUUCUUUGUAGCAAGCAGAGACAACAUAGCCUACGUCCUCAUCCCAGAAGAUAUCAGGUGCCCUCAAAGUAGGGUCUUCUCCAGAGAAAGAAGUUUUGAAGAAUUACAGGUCUAAAGACCCUAAUCCCAACCCCUUGGCACCCGGUAUGUUUUAGAAUUCUGAAUUGUGGGGAUUUUAGGAAAGAAAUCUGGUGCAUAAUCAACAAUAUUAUAUAACUUCUGCAGUGGGAUCUGGGGCAACACCCCGUUAAUCUUUCUUAAGCAAAACAUAUGAAGAUCCACACUAAGUGGGACAAAUAAAGGAUAUACAUAAAUAGACUCACAUCAGUUCAAGUUUUGCUGCCAGAAAAGUUGUGGAAAAAAGAAUUCAAUUUUAUGAGGUUUUUUGGAUUUCAGAAACGUGACUCAGGGAUUAUGGACCUGUACAUUUUUUAAAUGUCUGUCUUUCCCAGCAGAGACUGAGAUCAACGCUUUAUUUAUCUUCCCCAGUUUCUAGAUUAUGACUGGUGUUCAGUAAACAUGUUGGAUUUAAUUGAUUAAUUCUCGGGCUGUGAGCCUCUCUCCCAUUUGCUAGUGGCUGUUCCCUAACGAGCCACUGGACACCCAUGGAGGGCCAAAUUGCAAGAACAGGGUACUCAGCUCAAAUGUACUCUUCUUUGAAUUGAAGUAAUUAAAGACAAGUAAAUGUUAUGCCUAAUUUUAAUCCAUUAUUUUCCAAUUCCAAGUACUUCCAUUGUUUAAGCCACCCAAAGAUUAUAAAGACCAAUAAUUAGAUAUUUGCAAUAUUGUCUUGUUUGAGGAUUUGGUGACAAUGUUCUGGAAAACACUGCAACAAUGACAAGAAUGUCCCAUCUGGUUCCCAUAA
rnacentral:lncRNA from 10 species